GAGGAGAGAGGGAUUGAAGGUUAAGUUGAUCUUCAAUGGCCAAUGAUUUAAUCAAUCAUGCCUGUGUAAUGAAGCCUUCAUAAAAACCUAAAAAAGGACGGGGUUUGGAGAGCUUCCUGUAAGCGAACCCGUGAAGGUUCCAGGAGGAUGGCGCACCCGGAAAGGGCGUGGAAGCUCCGCGCCCCUUCCCACAGACUUUCCCCCAUCCAUCUCUUCAUCUGGUGUUCAUCGAUAGCCUUUGUAAUGUCCUUAAUAGUAAACCGGAAAACGUUCUUUCUACGUUGCCCAAGCUGGAGUGCAGUGGCCAUUCAACAGGUGGGAUCAUAGCACACCGCAGCCUCAAAUUCCUGGGCUCCAGCGAUCCUCCCAUCUCAGCCUCCCAAGUAGCUGGGGCUAUAGGCAUGUGCCACCACACCCAGCUAUUCCUUCUUAUAGCCAAAUAAUAUUCCAUUGUAUGGAUCAUUUUUUUUCUUUUCUUUUCUUUUUUUUCUGAGAUGGAGUCUCACUCUGUUGCCCAGACGAGUGCAGUGGCACAAUCUUGGCUCACUGCAACCUUCACCUCCUGGUUCAAGCAAUUCUCCUGCCUCAGCCUCCCAAUCUCUCUCUGCUGCUGUUCUCCCUCCUCCAGAUAUUUUCAUUUCUUCUGCAAAGUGGAGGACUAAAACUGCAGUUUUAGAGUGGAGGAAGAAGAGAAUCACCACAUAUCGUAUUUAGAGGUCCUGCAGAAAGGGCAGAGCGAGUUUCAUGUUUGAGUGCAGCGGAUGCAUGGGCAAAGCAUUACACAGCCGCUCCAUGGAAGUGACAAUGAGCCUUGUCUUUCACACGUAACUCCAGGAACCAGGGGAAACAAAACCAAUUCCACCCAGAGGUACAGACAAAGAAGAGCACCCUCCCAAAGGAGCCCGCAUGAUAAGUGGCCACGGCGAACAUCACUGUGAUCAGUCAGAAAGGCAGGUAAAUAAAAAUCAAAGAGCGUUCGAGGCAGCCGCAUUGACUCACCUUGCAGACAAGCAAGCAGAGCCGCAGAGCAGUGACCCGUGCCCAGCGCCUCGCAGCUAGAGCUGGAUUGGAAUCCAGGGCUUUGCAGGCUUCCUGCUUCACUCAAUCCUCUUUCUGUUGCCUCUGGCCUCAAGGUGUUGGCCUGGGAGGAAGUAGCAGAUUAAAUUCCAUGGGCACGAAGUCCGUAGCUGACGAAUACUUAAUAUGUUGCAGUUUCACAGUGAAAGUUGGCAAGUCCAGGGUGGGAACAUGCCCCAAGCAGCUGAGUCUUCUGGAUUUUACUUCUGUUCUUUGCCUCUCAAUUUUUGAUUUUGUUAUAUAAAAAGCAAAUCAGUAACUAUUGCAUUA
ensembl:lncRNA novel transcript, antisense to ZNF281